AUACGAUCUAUCCGGUUUCCGGAUUCUUCUCGCUUUUAUAAAAUCCGGUUAAUCGAUCCAUUUAAUUCCCGAUUCACAUCCGCGCCACCUCUUUCUCUUUUUCUUUCUCUGUGGGAGAGGUCAAAUAUUUUUCCAUCUUUCCCUCCUUCUACUCUCUCUCUCUCUGCUUCUGAUCUCCACUUCUCUCUUUUCUCUCCACAGCUCUAAACUCUCUCUCUCUCUCUCUCUCCCUCUCCGAAACAAAAGCAGGAAACACACUUAUCGCUCUGCCUUUCAUUGCUAGGUGAAGUUUUUUCUAGCCAUGGAUGGUGGUGCAUCCUAUAAUCCACGUACGGUUGAGGAGGUCUUUAGAGAUUUCAAGGGCCGUAGAGCUGGAAUGAUUAAAGCUCUCACUACUGAUGUUGAAGAGUUCUUCCAACAGUGUGAUCCUGAGAAAGAAAAUCUUUGUCUAUAUGGAUUUCCCGGUGAGCAGUGGGAGGUCAAUCUGCCUGCUGAAGAGGUUCCUCCGGAGCUUCCAGAGCCUGCUUUGGGUAUUAAUUUUGCCAGAGAUGGGAUGCAAGAAAAGGACUGGUUGUCUCUUGUUGCUGUUCACAGCGAUGCAUGGUUACUUGCUGUGGCCUUCUAUUUUGGAGCUAGGUUUGGAUUUGACAAAGCUGAUAGGAAACGCCUUUUCAACAUGAUAAAUGAGCUUCCAACAAUAUUUGAGGUUGUGACAGGAACAGGCAAGAAACAAGUAAAAGAGAAGUCCUCAGUUUCAAAUCAUAGCAGCAAUAAAUCCAAAUCAAAUUCUAAGAGGGGAUCUGAAUCUCAGGGCAAGUAUUCAAAGGCAAUGCAAUCGAAGGAUGAGGAUGAUGAGGGCAUUGAAGAAGAGGAAGAAGAGGAGCAUGGGGAGACAUUAUGCGGUGCUUGUGGAGAAAAUUAUGCAUCUGAUGAAUUCUGGAUUUGCUGCGACAUUUGUGAGAAGUGGUUCCAUGGGAAGUGUGUUAAGAUCACUCCAGCUAGAGCCGAGCACAUUAAGCAGUACAAAUGCCCUUCUUGCAGCAACAAGAGAGCUAGACCUUGAUGAAGGCAAGGAACAGAUCUGUGUAUUAUGGCAUGAUGGAACUGCUUAGUAGGUCUGGUUUGUUUGUAGUCAUGGCUCUUCCUUAAUCUAGGAAAUCUAUUCAAAUAUGUGUAGGUUGCAAAUGUGCUGUCUAUUUGGUCAUAAAAUUAGGAUAUUUAUGAACUCAGGUCGGGAAUUAUUGCCCCCAUGACUGGGAGAAAGGUUUGUUUUAUGUUUGUCGACUUGUGUUUAUGUGCAAUCUGUCCAGUCCGGUUCUUCAUGAAGUACCUGCUUUUUUUUUUUGGACAAAAU
rnacentral:misc_RNA from 1 species